ensembl:lncRNA
GUUUUAACAUAUUGUUAUGUGUUUUGGCAUUGCCUGUCCCAUAUUUUUUGUAAAUAUCACAGUAUCACAGUAAAAAUUAUUGGGAGGGACAAAUCCUAAUUGCGGACAUUAUAUAUUGAUACAUUUAAUGAAACCUUGUUGAUGCACUUUUACUUUAAUGAAGGUCCCAAGUUUAGCCAGUUGAGCUUCUGUGUCAUUAGGGCGUGAAAUGAACACAUUUUACAGCCAAAUGCAGUGGUCUGUAAGUCAGCCAAUGAUAUGAGUCGCCCUUGUUAGUUCAACAGCUUUUUUGGGAUUAUUUUCUAUUUUUACAAAAAUUUUAGAGUCUUAAGAACUUAGAGGUGGGGUUGUUUAAUUAUUGCCAGAUGACAAAAAAAAUCCAUCUGGGAAACUAUACCUGCUUGACAGCACAAUCAUGUUGAUAUUCUAUAUGAAAUUAUUUAACCAAGAAAUAUUUAUUCUGGCUGAGAUUUAGAAAAUUAGAUUUAUAGUUAAAUGGUGUCAGCGGUACAGAGAAAAUACCCAUAUUUUAAAUUUACAUGUUCUGUCUUUAAGAAAAACGUUUAUGUGAUUUUCAGCUCAAUUUAUAUAAUUAGGAUUUACAUUCUGGGACAAGGCUGCACAGUUCUGAACAAUAUGUUUCUCAUGCUGUCAUACAGAAACUUACAAAAAUGGGAAUUUAUACCAAUUAAACAUAUGGUGGUUUGAGAUCAUAUUUGUUGCUUAAAAAGAUGAAAUGCAACAUUAUUUCUAUUGUGCAUUUGGAUGUCAUAGCUCUUAAUGUAACAGCUAAAAAUAUGACACUCGUAAUCUUAAUGAGGUGAUUGUGCAGCCCUGCAGACAGGACAGUUUGGCAGCUGAAUGUGGAUGGAACCGAAUGUUUGCCUGAAUGUGUUGAAAUAUUUAUGUUUCACCUGUUGUUUCGUUGCAUCGGAGUGAUAUAAUAGUAACUGAAAGAUGUCUUAAGGUGGACUUUGCCUGUGGAUUUGCUGAAAGAAAACACAUUUGGGAUGUGCAAGGAGACCUGUUAAUUAUUGUGUUCUGUUAAAAAUCAGCAGCUAGUGUACAGGCUGGAUAUUCGUUCUGUUUUGUGCGUUCUGUUUGCAAAUGUUUAUUGAAAAGAAUCACUACUUUUAAUAUUCUGCCCUGUAAAAGGGGCAUAUCAUGUCUUAAUUUUUCUGUUUCUAGAUGUCAGCCAGACCUGGAGGUGGACUAUAAUUUACUGACAUACAGUACAUUUUACUAUGUAUAUAUAAAACAUGCCAUCUGCUGAUUCUUAUUAACUGCGUUUGUAUUCAGUGCUUCAACAUGAUUAUUGUAGUAUCUGAGAUAGGCCGAGUGAUGGCUGCAGUUUCCUUAUAGAGUACAGUGACGGUGUAUUGUUUUUAUUCUAGCUAAGUAAAGCUGCAUUGUACUGAAGUUUUAUUUGAAGGUGACUCCUUGUACUUUUCCCAAAGACAUGUAAUAUUUGAGUAAAGCUCAUAACCACAUUAAAAAUGCCUGUUUGAAAAUGUA